UAAGCCACAGGCUGCUGAUAUCGCGUUGAGGAAUCAUUUGGUUGAUGUAAUGGAUAAGAGGAUGGUGGAUUAUGUGGUUCUUGUGUCUGAUGAUUCUGAUUUUGUGGAAGUGUUGAAGGAGGCACGGUUGAGGUGUUUGAAGACGGUGGUUGUUGGUGAUAGUAAUGAUGGUGCUCUUAAGAGGACAGCGGAUGCUGCUUUCUCGUGGCAAGAGAUUAUGAUGGGAAA
rnacentral:misc_RNA from 1 species